GAUGAACGCUAGCGGCAGGCCUAAUACAUGCAAGUCGAACGGAUAUAUGUUUUUCGGAAUAUAUAUUAGUGGCGCACGGGUGAGUAACACGUACAUAACUUGCCCUCAAGCGGGGGAUAGCCUUGGGAAACUGAGAGUAAUACCCCAUAGAAUUAUUGGACGGCAUCGUUUGAUAAUUAAAACUACGGUGUUUGGGGAUAGAUGUGCGUCUGAUUAGCUAGUUGGUGAGGUAACUGCUCACCAAGGCGACGAUCAGUAGGGGGCGUGAGAGCGUGGCCCCCCACACGGGUACUGAGACACGGACCCGACUCCUACGGGAGGCAGCAGUAAGGAAUAUUGGUCAAUGGAGGGAACUCUGAACCAGCCAUGCCGCGUGAAGGAUGACGGCCCUCUGGGUUGUAAACUUCUUUUGGAUGGGGCGAAAAAACGGGAUUUAUCCUGGACUGACGGUACCAUCAGAAUAAGCACCGGCUAACUCCGUGCCAGCAGCCGCGGUAAUGUAGUCGUG
rnacentral:rRNA from 1 species